CCACACACACACACAAACAAAGAGGCGUUAGGCCGAGACGCUGAAAGUCCGGAUUUAAAGUGCAGAAAAUUAAGCCAUUGAAUCUGCCUGUCCAUGACGUACAAAGACACACUAUGAGCCAGUAUGAUCCGACCAGACCUUACAUCAGCAUUGAGGAGUUGUCGGAGAAGAAAGAGGCUGAUUGAAGCGGGACAGAUGACAUGGAUCCAUCCUUCCACAGCCAGGAGUGCACCGACCUGUGUCCCACACUUCAUAUAAGACUUGAAGCUACACUGAUCUCACAGCUACACACCACAGACGUCUACACACUGGAGAAGAGUCCCACAAAGAAGUCAUGACCCAGAGGCUGCAGAGAAACAUUUCAAGCCUCAUCUGAGUUUUUGUACAAUAUUUUUGCUGUAUGUAAAUAAAGCUUUCACUCCACAUA